GCUUGUUUUCUCCAUACCUUUUAUUGAACUCUGCAGACUUCAUUAAGGGACCAUUUUCUUGCAAAUUCUUAAACAUUUGGACAUAUUUUACAAGACAGGACGGAGCUGGAGGUCACACAAGGAUCACAAUUUCAUCUCACUACAUGCAUAAAAAGACGCCGGGAUUUUUGUUGUUUCGUUUCCAUGUGUGUGUGUGUGUGUGUGAGCAUGAGCAUGCUCAAUGCUUAUUUUCACCAUUACAGGAAGGACUAGAGAAGUCAACUGCUGAAAAAUGAACAGGACCCACAAACGCAACCCGAGAAGAGUGGUUGAGGACAUUGGUUGUUUAUGGCUAAUGUAAUUGGCUUGGUCCCCAUCAUGGGUGGGGUGAUCAGAAUGGCUUUGCUGGCAGAAAAGCCCCAACCUCACACUGCAGGUUCCUGGGAGGGACAGAGGAUAUUAGCUGAUGGCAUUGGGGCAUAUGCUGUCAUGGAGGGCUUCAGGGCUCAGAUAAAAGGAGAGCAUUGGCUCUAACAGCAGGAGGACAGGCAAGCCCUCUCAUGCAGCUGGACUCCGAGGCUCAGGGAAUGUGCUCCAGUUCUAGAUGUUUGUGCCCAUUCCUGCACCAGCAAAUCCCAGACCAAGGGAAACCCCUACUCUUGACCCUUGGCUCAGCCCACUAGAAAUCCACUCUGUGAUCUCCCAUGGGCUGCAUGAGCUAACUGCCAGGCAGGAAAGGAGGGACAGGGCUGGCUGCCCCUGCAGCCCCCUGGAGGUGAGGCUUGGAGAGAGGGCUGUAACCCUUUUCUGGCUGGGGCCUACAAAGGUCAAAUUUGGACGUCGCUAUGGUGCCAGAUCGUGUCCAAGAACAGAUGCCAUUGGUGGGGCAUCAUCUAUGGUCUUCAGUGGCGGGGGGGGGCUCCCAUUUUUCCUUUCUCCCCAAUUAGCAACACAAACAGCCAGAAAAGAACUCAACUAACUCCCCUCUUCCCCACACACUCAUCCAUCAAUCGUUCCCACAUCCACUCACGAAACGCAACACAACACAGGUGGGAUGACCACUGUGUGCCAAGUGGACAUGUUGGCAGGAAAUCCUGAGUUCCUGAUAGAAAAAGUGGGGCUCCCAGCCCUCAACCUUAGACUGACGUCAAGGUAAACCUGGAGAGAAAGAAGCCAGUUUCCAGCUCACUUACUG
rnacentral:lncRNA from 1 species